GGCCUCCUGCUGCCAUCAGAUUUUUCAGCUGUGGCAACAAACCCAAAAGGACGCCUGGGGCUUGUAGGCUGAAUGUCUGCCUAUAAAAGCACGCCUGCAAGAAGAGCAGGGUGGUGGGCUGUGCUGCUCAGGACAGCAUGUGGCCAUGGGGUUUUGUGUUUUGGAGCAAGUCAUCUCUGGGGUGCAGCUUGGAGCCCCAGCCUUGGGGACAUGCUGUGGCACUGUCCCCACCUGCAGGGACAUGGGCUUGGAGCCCACCAGAGAUGUACCCCAACCAGAGCUGCAUCGCCUGCACUGCAAUUCAAGUUUGCCCCUCCCACCCCCGUGGCCAUAGCAAGCACCACGUACUGACAGCCGAAACACAGUGUGAAGCUCCUGAAGCUGUGCCUGCUGUCAGACAGCCCUUGGACUCAGAGGGGAGGGGAAGGAUCACCUCCCUCGGCCUGCUGGUGAUACGUUGCCUCAUGCAGCCAAAACUACCGUCAGCCUCCUUGGUGUUGAGGGCACGUUGCUGAUUCAUGUUCAGCUUGGUGUCCACCAGGACUCCUCGGUCCUUUUCUGCAACUUUUCUCCUCUCCAUGCUGUUUGGAAAACCUCUGGAAUGGCUACAAUGAGCACAGAAAGCAAGCACCAGCAAAAGCCACUUGUAGCCAACACUUGUUUUCACGAAACAUUAAAGUUUCCAUCCUAAUUUGCCCAACCUGGACUGAAUGACAGUGACAAAAUCUGUAAUGAUUUUUUUUUCUCCUGCUGACAACUGGCUGGGAAUAACACAGGCAGCAGUCCUCAGCACCGUGGUGUGUUGGGAGCUGGAGCACAACCAAGCAUCAUCAGCGGGAUGGGAGACAAUUUAUGUGCCAGGCUACUAAUGGACCUAAAUAUGACAACAGAAAUUACUUUCUAACCUGCCGGAGAGUUUAGAAACUGAAGAAUCUGCUUGGCCUCUCAGUCUGGGGGAGUCAUGCUACCCUUGCCCCCCCCCCAGUCAUCAUCAGUGAAGAUUCAGAAGAAAAUGUUAAAAAUUACUGAAUCACCAGCAAUUUGGCUGAGGCAGCUGGGAGUCAGGCUGUGGCACUGGCAGCCCAGCUCCCUCAUUUGUUGCCAUCUCUGCCAAGUCUCACCGUGCAGCGCUGGACAAUUGACCUCCAUUUUCUCCUGAAGGUGGAUAAAAGCAAUUUCUUCCUAAAUAAAGCCUCAUUUGAACAAAAAGUCAUAUUAUCAUUACAGCAGAAGGCUUCACAUUGCAGUGGUGGUGGGGAGUGAAGGUCGUACCUGGGUCCUGCAGGUAAUGACAUCUUGCUCAAAAGGCACAUUGUUUUUUCUCACUCAUUCUUUCCUUCACUAUCAUAAUUAUCCAGUUCCUCAGAAAAGGAGCCUCAGAUAUUCAGCCUUUCUCUGUGUUUUGACAACCAUCUGAAACAGUACAUGCAGAGGGGUUAGGGGAUGUUAUGAAAGGCUGGUGUCAUCGAGGAAUGCUGGUAACUGGCACUUCUUGAAUUCAGGCAGUGAAGAAGCCCCUGACUCACUUGGGACAUUGCCUGCAGGCUGGUCACGUCACUGCUGAAUUUUGUA